rnacentral:RNase_P_RNA from 1 species
UAGGUGGGGCGAUCUGUCGCACCACGGCUGCGAAGCCGGGGUGAGGAAAGUCCGGACAGGAUAGGGCACCCCGCUGGGGAAAUCCCAGAUGGGAGCAAUCUUAUCGCACCGUAACAGAAAACAACCGCCCGGGAAACCGGGUAAGGGUGAAAACGCGAGGCAAGAGCUCACGACGUAACGGGGCGACCCGCUGCGGGUACGGUGCCGGGGCCUGCAAGACCAAAUAUACCGGCAAAUGAGGACGGCCCGUCCGAUGCCGGGGGGUAGGUUGCGAAGAUAAAUGACAGAUUCAAAAACAGAAACCGGCUUACGGCCCCACCUUUUUU